rnacentral:lncRNA from 1 species
AUCAAAGUUUGAUGGGCCUGAGAACUAGCUGGAUCACCUGGAUGGAAAGAUCUUGAGUGGCAGAAAAUGUGGAUAACCCAUCCCUGCAUCACUGGACUCCAGUGCUACAGAAAUGCUCAUCAGAGAAAUGCACAUCAAAUUAGUAAGGACUUUGUAGUCUUACAAGACUUAAACAGAUUACAUUCUAGUAAUCUAGUUUUCCCUCUUCUCUGAGUACAAUUGACUUCACAUUAAUGGGUAAAGUUAUCUUUCAUUGGAAUAAAGACUACAGAACACACUAGCUACCUUCUGAUCCCAAUAACUCAUCCCCUCCACCUAACACUGCUAUAGGAAAUUGGCUGUGUUGAACAGAAUCGAAAAUGUUCCUCAAUUAUCCUUGCAGAGGACAGAGUGAUCUGAUGCCUAUUUCUACCUCCUGCAGAUCUGAAUCUGCCCCCUGCUAUCAUGAGUAGGAGACAGAUUCCCAGAACACAAACCUAGGUGUCUCUCAAUAGCAGCCAUCUGCUUCUCCCGGAAACACAGCAACUUUUUUUCUGAAAAUGUUUUAUUGAGAAAUGCAUGCUUAUCUCUAAUUCCUCAGGGGAAUUUCCUUGUAGGGACAUGAGUUACUUGCCUUCAGAUGAAAACCUAAAGAAGAAAAGAACAAAAACAAAGCAAGGCCAAGAAUCAUCCUCCGAAAGUCUCAGGAACACCCAGGAGGUCUCACACAAUCACAAUCCAGAAAUUAGUUUCUAUCAAACUGUGCUUCUUGUCUGAAACUCCUCCUGUAGUUGACUCUAAACUUGCCACAUAAUCGCAGAGGAGACAGGAAGAAAAGAGAACCCACUGAAGGCAUCGCCCGCCACCUCGAUGCAUGAUCUCCGUGCUGAGGCAGACCUGUUUUUUGCCAUGUUUAGGUCUCAAUUAUUAAUCAAGAAGAGUUUUCUCAGCUCCUAACCUCAAAAGCACAAGUUGACAGUCUGGGUCUUACAGUGCUGUUCGUGAUCUAAAGGAAAUUCAUUAUAAAGUGGCCUUUCUUUAUAGAGGAAGACAUAUUCUUUCUUUAUUGUUGCCUCUCAAGCCAGACUCCCUGCCCAGUCUGGAGAAAGAUAAUAUUUCUCCUAAGAAGACAAUAUUAAUGAACUCAAUUCGGAGAAUACAGUUGCCCGGGCUGAGGCAAAGAGACUCAAAGCAUGCCUUGGGUCCCAGUUUUGCUUUUAUAAUUUCCUUCACUGAAGGAAUGGUGGAGAAUGGAUAAAGGGAUGCCCUAAAAGCUAUAUUCCCAGAGGCAGGAGUUCUCCCUCUACACUAGGCUCUCCAGAAAUUAGGGGAAAGGCAGCUUCCUCAACGGCAUCACUUAGAUGGCCACUCUCUUUGUUUUCCUGGAAAAGGGUGCUGGCAACUAUGAAAAUGACAACUAGAACUCUGGGAUAACCUUGUCAUUUUUAUGCAUGUUGAUUCUUGGUUGUUAUUUGCUUGAUACUGAUCUAGAAGGGCAAAUAUGAUUUUAAAGAAAAGUAUAAGAAGCUCUGUGUCUCAGAAUGACAUCUGAUUCAUCACAAAGGAUUUCCCUGUUUAUUCCCCAGUGAGUCACAUGUACACAGAAAUGAGGGAGACACUUUAAAAGACAUGGAAAUAGAAGGACAGUUACCAGAGGCUGGGAAGGAUAGUGGGAGGGUUGGGGUGGGGGAAGGUGGGGAUGAUCAAUGGGUACAAAAAAAUAGCUAUAAAGAACAAAUAAGACCUACUAUUUGAUAACACAACUGGGUGACUAUAGUCAAUAAUAAUUUAAUUGUAUUUUUAAAAAACUAAAAAUGUAUAAUUGAAUUGUUUGUAAUACAAAGCAAAAAUGUUUGAAGGGAUGGAGACCUCAUUCUCCAUGAUGUGAUUAUAAUGCAUUGCAUGCCUGUAUUAACACAUCUCAUGUACCCUGUAAAUAUUAGGUUGAUGCAAAAGUAAUUGUGGUUUUUGGCUAUAUACACCUACCAUGUACCCAAAACAACUAAAAAUAAAUUAAA